rnacentral:misc_RNA from 1 species
UGAUUUGCCUUUUUUUUUUCUGUACAUUUGCUGAAUUUGCUUCAAUGAGCGGGUCGAUAGUUCACGAUUUGGCCAUUUUGUCACAUUAUAGUUUCAUCUGUUCUUUUGAUUUGCCUAUGUAUGUAUGUUUUGUACGUUUGUUCUUUGUUCAGUUCAAUUGAAAAUUUUUGGAAGCGUAUGAUUUUAAGCCCCCGCAUUGUUGUUCAAUGGUUAUGUGCUUUUGUAUGCUAAUUUUUUGAGCUUGUGAAAGUAAACUUUCCCAUAAUUCUUGCCCUAAGGAGUUUUAUCUUAUUGUGGUUCACUGUCACAUGAAGAAGGAUGAAGCCAAG